CAGUUUGUCUUUUUUUUUUUUUUUUUUUUGACUACAGGUGCUCAGCUGCUGAGAUAAGACAUUCAGAAGCUGUGCUGGCUUUACGGACCAUCCAACCGCCUCCUGAACAAGGUUGUCAGACUCUGCACUGCCAGGCUUUUCCUCCUCCUUUUGUCUACUCCACCGCAGUUUGAAGUGGGUGUUGAGCCGCUCCAGG